rnacentral:rRNA from 1 species
CGAAAAGCGUGACCUAAUACGUCUCGCCUUGACGGUACCUUCUUAGCAAGCACCGGCUAACUCCGUGCCAGCAGCCGCGGUAAUACGGAGGGUGCAAACGUUGUCCGGAUUUACUGGGUGUAAAGGGCGUGUAGCCGGGUCGGCAAGUCAGAUGUGAAAUCUAUGGGCUCAACUCAUAAACUGCAUUUGAAACUGUUGAUCUUGAGUAUCGGAGAGGCAAUCGGAAUUCCUAGUGUAGCGGUGAAAUGCGUAGAUAUUAGGAGGAACACCAGUGGCGAAGGCGGAUUGCUGGACGACAACUGACGGUGAGGCGCGAAAGCGUGGGGAGCAAACAGGAUUAGAUACCCUGGUAGUCCACGCUGUAAACGAUGAAUACUAGGUGUGCGGGGACUGACCCCCUGCGUGCCGCAGCUAACGCAAUAAGUAUUCCACCUGGGGAGUACGAUCGCAAGGUUGAAACUCAAAGGAAUUGACGGGGGCCCGCACAAGCGGUGGAUUAUGUGGUUUAAUUCGAAGC